CUUCAUGGGUGAGAAGUACCUGCUACAGAUUUACUGCUUCAGAUUCAGGUUCUUAUUACCAUCAUGUCCCAAAGAUCUCACACUUGUGAGAGGAUAGAGAUACUUGGUCCAAACCAGCAAUUCCCAGAUGAAAGAAAUUCACAGGAAGAAGAGAAAGACAGAACAGCAGAUUUUGGUUAGCUCUUUAUCGAGUCUACUGCCAGUGCUUUCUGCUAUCAGUGCCCAAACAUCUGUACUGGGGACAUCACACAAGCUGACAGUCGGAUACUGAUAUCUGCAAUAAGUAACUAAUCCCUUAAGCACACAGGAAUUUUCUGUCAGUUGAAUUUGCUGGGUACCGUUUCCCUAAAAGAAAGAUAAAGGUGAUAGGCUUAUCAUUCACCAAAG
rnacentral:lncRNA from 1 species